rnacentral:ncRNA from 1 species
UUCUCAAAAAAGGGGUGCCUAUAAUCGGCUGAGAUCAUACCCAAUGAACCUAGAACAGGUAAUGCUGUUUAGGGAUUACAAUUGAAGACUCG